CAACUUUCAGUUCCAAGUUAAAAAUUCAACUAAAAAAAAUAUGAUGGCGUCGCCCGGACUUGAACCGUAGAACUUCAGUGUGUAAGACAGACUGACUUCAUAACCAACUACACCACGACACCGUUGCAUCACCUCAUUUCGAUAUGUUUUAUAUCUCCGAUAGGUUCUCUUUUGGCGGCAAAUAAGUGAUUUUCUGAACAGUAAUCAAAUUGAAACCAUAGGGUUUUGUUGCUUGGUUUGAUUUCUGGUCCUUGAAGCUCCUCUACUCAAUAAUCAGUUAAAAGCUUAAAAAAUUGCAGAUAUGCAUCCCUAAGUUCUCAGCAUGAAGUCGAUUUGAUACUUUACAAGUACCGGCAUUGCCCUGUAAUUGAGCGCCAUUGAAAUGCACGGAGGACCAGCAGCUUCACCGUCGACUAUAAAGCCCAUAAACAAGGGCGUCGUGCAUAGAAUUUGUGCUGGUCAAGUUAUUUUGGACCUUUCCUCCGCCGUCAAGGAGUUGGUUGAAAACAGCUUGGAUGCCGGCGCCACCAGCAUCGAGGUUUCGCUCAAAGACUAUGGCACUGAAUCCUUCCAGGUUAUCGACAACGGUUGUGGCAUCUCGCCUCACAAUUUCAAGGUACUGACGCUAAAACAUCAUACCUCAAAACUAUCAGAUUUUCCUGAUCUUCAGUCAUUAGCGACUUUUGGAUUUAGAGGGGAGGCAUUGAGUUCACUUUGUGCUUUAGGGGAUUUGAUGGUUGAAACAAGAACAAAGAAUGAGCAAGUGGCGACACACUUGACUUUUGAUCGUUCGGGCCUUCUGAUAGCUGAAAGGAACACAGCUCGCCAAGUUGGUACCACUGUCACUGUUAAGAAGUUGUUCUCCACUUUACCAGUGCGAAGUAAAGAGUUUCACCGCAACAUCCGAAAGGAAUAUGGAAAGCUUAUUACAUUGCUGAAUGCCUAUGCUCUUAUUUCUAAGGGAGUCAGAAUAGUUUGCACCAACACAGCUGUAAGAAAUGCAAAGUCUGUAGUUCUGAAGACUCAGGGAAGUGGAUCCGUGAAAGAUAACAUCAUAACAGUAUUUGGUAUGAGUACCUUUACUUGUCUGGAGCCUCUUAAAGUAUGUACUUCUGAUGGUUGCACAGUUGAAGGAUUCAUUUCUAAGCCUGGUUAUGGUAGUGGACGCAAUAUAGGGGAUCGGCAAUACUUUUUUGUGAAUGGACGGCCAGUAGAUAUGCCAAAAGUUGGCAAGCUUGUCAAUGAGUUGUACAGAGGUGCAAACUCUCGACAAUAUCCCAUUGCAAUCAUGGACUUCACGAUCCCACCCAGAGCAUUUGAUGUCAAUGUAACUCCCGAUAAAAGAAAAAUAUUUCUGUCCGAUGAAGGCUCCAUAUUGCAUUCUUUGAGAGAAGCUUUAGAGAAGAUAUACUCAUCAAAUCAUGCUAGUUAUGCUGUGAAUAGUUUCCAAGAGGUUUUUGAAGAAAAACAUACAUCCACUCAUUCCCAACUCGAGGCCUUUCAGUUUCAAUCCAAGCAAUUAUUGUCAGAUAGAGAUGAUACUCAGGAAGGCGACUGCAUUGGGGAGCUACAUAAAGAUGGUCACUAUCUCAAAAAACCUCUAAAGGAAUUAAAAGAUACUUCUGUCACGGGCAUGUUAAAUGAUGGAAACAGGUCAACAGAGAAAGACUUCAGUCUUCGAUUCCAUGGAAAGAAGAAAGACAAUCGCAGUUCCAGAAGUCCCUGGAAGGAAGUCGGAGGUCUGAUUACUGCUGAUGACUCAGCCACUCACCCAGUGAUCAAAAGAAAAAGCUGUAUCGAUAUGCACAUUAUGUGGAUUGUUGCAACCAUUGUCCAGUCAUCACUCACCAAAUUUAUUACAGUAAAUAAGAGAAAGCACGAGAGUAUGAGUACUGCAUUAUCUGAGGUACCUCUCCUGAGAAAUAGAUUGACUGUAUGCCCUUCAGGAGAAGACAGUUAUUUGAAGGAUACGAUAUCCUUAAGAUCUCCAGAUAAUCCUAUUAUAGCUGCAACUGGAGACAAUUUCAAUUCAUUCUCUAUGCUAUUUUUGUUAGUCCUUUUAGUUAUACCAUUUCAUUUUCAGGAGCAUGAGGUUCAAAUGAACGAGUUAUGUGUGACUGAAUCGAAAUAUGUAGAUGCUGUUUCUUUUGAACAGCCUGCUAGUCUGACUUUGGAUGCUCCUAAGGCUUCAUCUGAUUUAAAGAUUGUUCGACAUUGCAAUUUAGUGUGAACGACCUCAUAUCAAGAAGGAAGCAGAGACUGUCAAGAUUGCAACUCCUUAAUCGUACAUCUCAAGAAUGCUACCUAGAGCUCACCGAAUCAGAAAAUGAAGUGGCCAAGGAAAAUGCUAUGAUUGCUCUACCAGUGAUUGGCAAAUUCAAUCUUGGAUUCAUUAUAGGCAGGUUGGAUGAGGACCUUUUUAUUGUUGAUCAGGUAUAUUCACGAGAAGUUAGAAUUUUUGAGCGUCUGUCACAGUCAACUAUCUUGAAUCAGCAACCUUUGCUUCGGCCCUUGAAGAUGGAGUUAUCGCCUGAAGAAGAAAUAGUUAUUUCCAUCCACAAUGAUACUUUCAGGAGAAAUGGAUUUCUAUUGGAAGAGGAUCUGCAUGCUCCUCCAGGGCAUCGAUUUAAGCUAAAAGCAGUUCCCUUCAGCAAAAAUAUAACUUUUGGAGUCGCAGAUGUGAAAGAACUCAUUUCGAUUCUUGCCGAUAGUCAGGAAGAAUGUUCCAUGAUGGGUACUUAUAAGGAUGAUACCGCCGAUUCACUAUGUCCUCCUAGAGUACGUGCAAUGUUGGCAUCACGUGCCUGCAAAUCAUCUAUUGUUAUUGGAGAUCCACUUGGGAGAAAUGAGAUGCAAAAGAUACUUGACAAUCUAUCACGACUCAAGUCUCCGUGGAAUUGUCCACAUGGUAGACCAACAAUGCGUCACUUGGUUGAUCUGAGGACUGUACAUAAAAGAAUAGAAGCGGAUGAGAAUGAGACCGCCUUAUAAACUCCAGUUGGUAACACAGCAACCAAACUGAAGCGGGUACUUCUUUCUGUAAAUUAUUGGAAACCUGUAAAUCAAGGCUGCAUUUUGCCUAGAAUAGAAUUAUCAAAAUCUCGAGGAAUUAAUUGAGAACGCAGAAAGGGGUCUUUUGCUUUCCAUCUACUCCGUUUUAUACAUUCCUUUUUUCGUUUUUGUUUAAAGAACGAUCUUUAUUACUUACCUUUCUUGCAAACACUUUA